rnacentral:snRNA from 1 species
UGGCCCCAUAUUCCGGGUG